AUCGAUGAAGAACGCAGCGAAAUGCGAUAAGUAAUGUGAAUUGCAGAAUUCAGUGAAUCAUCGAAUCUUUGAACGCACAUUGCGCCCUUUGGUAUUCCGAAGGGCAUGCCUGUUCGAGCGUCAUUACAACCCUCAAGCUCUGCUUGGUAUUGGGCCUCGCUAGUAAUAGCGUGCCUUAAAAUCAGUGGCGGUGCCGUCUGGCUCUAAGCGUAGUAAUUUUUUCUCGCUCUGGACGUCAUAUGGAUACUUGCCAUUAACCCCCAAUUUUUAAAGGUUGACCUCGGAUCAGGUAGGGAUACCCGCUGAACUUAAGCAUAUCAAUAAGCGGAGGAAAAGAAACCAACAGGGAUUACCUCAGUAACGGCGAGUGAAGCGGUAACAGCUCAAAUUUGAAAUCUGCCUACAGGCCGAGUUGUAAUUUGUAGAAGAUGCUUCGGGUGUGGCUCCGGUCUAAGUUCCUUGGAACAGGACGUCAUAGAGGGUGAGAAUCCCGUAUGUGACUGGAUGCCUAUGCUCAUGUGAAGCUCUUUCGACGAGUCGAGUUGUUUGGGAAUGCAGCUCAAAAUGGGUGGUAUAUUUCAUCUAAAGCUAAAUAUUGGCCAGAGACCGAUAGCGCACAAGUAGAGUGAUCGAAAGAUGAAAAGCACUUUGGAAAGAGAGUUAAACAGUACGUGAAAUUGUUGAAAGGGAAGCGCUUGCAACCAGACUUGCACGUUGUCGAUCAUCCGAUGUUUUCACCGGUGCACUCGAUUUCGUUCAGGCCAGCAUCGGUUUUGGUGGUUAGAUAAAGACCUUAGGAAUGUGGCUCUUUCGGGAGUGUUAUAGCCUGGGGUGUAAUGUAGCCUACUGGGACCGAGGACCGCGCUUCGGCUAGGAUGCUGGCGUAAUGGUUGUAAGCGACCCGUCUUGAAACACGG
rnacentral:rRNA from 1 species